AUCAAUCUUAUCUGCAUCUCAGCUAGCGGAUUACACAUCGCAGCUGCUAAUGAACACAGAAGAAUGUCAAAUGAGGCCUUGUGAAAUAGGCAUAGAAGGGGCAGCUGGGAUGAAUUGGGAGGACUCAUUCUUUCAUUUUCCCUGAAGCUGUAGAUCGAAGUCCUCUAGCCUUAGAGCAAUGCUUUUGUUCUGCAGUUGCUAUUCUGGAAUUGGCGCAUUGUAAGAGCUGCUCUACAUGACUGCUGGAAUCUCAGUCUAUGCAUAUGUAUUAGUAUUAAAACAAAUGUUGUAUCCAUUUUUCAUUCCAACACUGUCCUUGUGAGUAUUGUAUUGUGUAUGCCACAAUGUUCCUUAUAUUUGUACCCACAAUGUUCUCUUC